rnacentral:rRNA from 1 species
AGCGAACGCUGGCGGCAGGCUUAACACAUGCAAGUCGAACGGGCGUAGCAAUACGUCAGUGGCAGACGGGUGAGUAACGCGUGGGAACGUACCUUUUGGUUCGGAACAACACAGGGAAACUUGUGCUAAUACCGGAUAAGCCCUUACGGGGAAAGAUUUAUCGCCGAAAGAUCGGCCCGCGUCUGAUUAGCUAGUUGGUGAGGUAAUGGCUCACCAAGGCGACGAUCAGUAGCUGGUCUGAGAGGAUGAUCAGCCACAUUGGGACUGAGACACGGCCCAAACUCCUACGGGAGGCAGCAGUGGGGAAUAUUGGACAAUGGGCGAAAGCCUGAUCCAGCCAUGCCGCGUGAGUGAUGAAGGCCCUAGGGUUGUAAAGCUCUUUUGUGCGGGAAGAUAAUGACGGUAC